CAUGCAAGUCGAGCGGUAAGGCCCUUCGGGGUACACGAGCGGCGAACGGGUGAGUAACACGUGGGUAACCUGCCCUGUACUCUGGGAUAAGCCUUGGAAACGAGGUCUAAUACCGGAUAUGACACUGGAUCGCAUGAUUUGGUGUGGAAAGUUCCGGCGGUACAGGAUGGACCCGCGGCCUAUCAGCUUGUUGGUGGGGUAAUGGCCUACCAAGGCGACGACGGGUAGCCGGCCUGAGAGGGUGACCGGCCACACUGGGACUGAGACACGGCCCAGACUCCUACGGGAGGCAGCAGUGGGGAAUAUUGCACAAUGGGCGAAAGCCUGAUGCAGCGACGCCGCGUGAGGGAUGACGGCCUUCGGGUUGUAAACCUCUUUCAGCAGGGACGAAGCGCAAGUGACGGUACCUGCAGAAGAAGCACCGGCUAACUACGUGCCAGCAGCCGCGGUAAUACGUAGGGUGCGAGCGUUGUCCGGAAUUAUUGGGCGUAAAGAGCUCGUAGGCGGUUUGUCGCGUCGGCCGUGAAAACUUGGGGCUUAACCCCAAGCUUGCGGUCGAUACGGGCAGACUUGAGUUCGGCAGGGGAGACUGGAAUUCCUGGUGUAGCGGUGAAAUGCGCAGAUAUCANGAGGAACACCGGUGGCGAANGCGGGUCUCUGGGCCGACACUGACGCUGA
rnacentral:rRNA from 1 species